AAGGCAAGUGGUGAAGGUGAAGCUGGUGGAAAACUCUGCUCUGGAUCUGAAUGACCCCAAUGUCCUGGGAACCCUGUUGGACGAGCUCAAACACAAGGUGGAGGACCAGGGAGUGAGAGCAGCCAUCAAACUCAGCUGGAAGAAACAGCCUGAUGGAAAGAUCUUCUACAAGGAGAAGCAGGACGACCAUAACUAACCCAAAGAUACUUGAGGCAUGUAACAAGCAAAGAUCCUCUGAGGUAAAGGUACUGCUCCACUAACAGAUGUCUGAUCGUGUUUCUUGCAUCAAUAAACU